UCCCCCUCAACCGAUCCCUCGUGCUUGAAUUGGCCAUCCCCUGACCCCGUUCUUCUCCCUUGACCCGAGCUUGGACCCAAAUCCUCUGGCACCGGCGACCACUCUGACCAAUUCACCUUGACCAGAGAAACCACUGGCCAUCAACAACAACCACCAGCGAUCAUUAUGGCAUGUCAAUGUUGAUCUUUUGUUUGUCGCUGCAACAAGUCCACUUUGCUUUAUUAUUUUCUCUCUGUUUUGGUUCUGAUGUCAAUUAUGGGAUUUUUUUGGUUCACAUAUCGGAGAUGUAUAUCAUCACUAUUGCCGUAGAAUUUGUUUUAAACCUCCUCAAUUUACGUUUUAUUUAUUCUGUAUCCGUGUCCUUUGUUUGAAUUUAGUGGAUGGAACUCGAAGGAGUAGUUUGGCAAGAAACGUAGAUUAAGGAAAUGGAGGUUUUAAUUUUCUA